GAGAGAAUGGUAGUGGUGGAGGGAGAAAGAGAACGGGGGUUAGAAAACGGAAGGGAGUGCGUGAGGCAGAGAGAAAAUGGGAGGUAGGGGAGGGAGAAAGGAAAAUAAAGAGACAGAUAUAAAUAGAGACCCGAGCACUAAGCCCUAAAUUAGUAUAUGAAACGUGUCCAAAUUAGAAUAUUCUUAAUUGUGAGGAUUAAGUAUCAAUUACUGAGGCCCGUCACAUAAGGAUUACAGUCCAGAAGUGCAGAAACAAUACUAACUAUUGACAGAAGCAGAGACAGACCGCAACAAGCUAAAGACAGAAGGAGCCCCCUGGAGACAGUGAAGCAAUUUUAAAAGUAAUUAAUGAAGUUCUGAAAAGAAAAACAGGUAAAACCAGCAAUAAAUAAUUCCAGAUUCAAUCCACUCUGACCCAUUACCGGCCAUCUCCAAGAUCAUCUUAUGUCCAGGCCUCCGAGCUCAUUCUGGGAAUUUCCUCGCCAAGGGCGAACGGGUUAGAACAAGUUCUUAUACUGCUGGAACAUUAAGAGAAGAAGAUGCGGGGCGGGGACUUGGAAUCCCCCCCCCCUAAGCCUCCUGAGGAGUAUAUAAGGAACUGCAGCUCUCAACGACAGCACAGAGAUAAGCCGAGAUCUUCCAAACCAAUUCACUCUACAACCGAACCACUUUCAACAUGAGAUUUUUGUCGCUGAUGUUGGUGUUGGUGGUGGCCCUGGCCGCCCUGAUGGGGUCAGCCCGAGCUAUGCCUGACCCCUACGCCCUGGCUGACCCUGACCCCUACGCUGAGGCUGACCCCGCUGCUGACCCACAGUUUGGACGAUUUGGCGGGGGUCGAGGAUUUGGUAGAUUUAGUGGUGGAUUCGGAAGAUUCGGUGGUGGAUUUAGACGCCGUGGCCAUUUUGGUUAAAAAUGGAUUCUGACCACAGGAAUAAAUGUAUUGUUCUCUCUCAUUAUUCAAACUAAAUAUAAUUUGGCUAAUGCAUUAUA